ensembl:misc_RNA
CCCGCGCAUCUCCUCUCCGCAGUCGCAAGAGCGGAGGGUAAUUAGGACAGGAUCCUAAUAAACCUGCGAGUGAGACGUUAAAAAAACUUCCACUGGCAAAACGCAGGCCAACAGUAACACUCCAGAGACAGAUUAGAAGUAAAGUAUAUUUUGAAGGAAGGGUUACAGUCUUUGAAGUCGGGAAGUAAUAGU